GAUUUACUAAUGAUUCAAUUGAUUUUUCCUAUACGAAACUUGUAAUUUUUUUUCAUAGUUUGAUAAAUAUUACGUAUUAACUCUAUUAUUCUUGAUGCAUGUUACCUUUGGCGAUUAACUAUCGAUAAAAAAAUUUCGCAAUUGUUACAACUUGUGUCUCCUGCCACUUUUGCUACUCGCUACCACCUCCAUAUCUAUGUAGAGUCAUCCUCUUUGGUGGUUCAUCGGCGGCUUCGUGAUUUCGAAGACUUUUUUUGUGCUUCUUGCUUAUUUCUGGUUAGAUUUGAGUGGUUUUGAUGGAAUUUUAUUGUUUUUGGUGGCACCUCUAAUCUGGAUUUGUCCAGAUCUGAGUGAAUAUGAGUUUGUCAACCCUCAUGUCAAACACGAAAUCCAUCAUCACUGUCGCCUUCAAAUCUAGAUAUGGCGGCGGUAGAGUCACCUCAGAAAGUCGUCUAAACUCACCACCACCGACUCUAGUCUCUCAGAUCUAAAGUCAAACAUUACAUCUGUUACCUACCACCGCCGUCGUCUCCCCUGAUGAGUUUUCACUAGUUGUUGAUGACUUUUUUGUGCUUCUUAUUCAGAUUUGGUUAGAUAUGAGUGAUUCGGAUGGAUUUUUAUUGUCUCCAAUGGCAUUUCUAGUCCAGAUAUGAGUGAAAAUGAGUUUGUCAACACCUCCGUCAAAGAUGAAAGCCAUCAACAUCAUCGCCUUUAAAUCCAGAUUGGCGACGGUACCACCACCUCAGACUGUCAGCCAAACUCACCACCACUAAUGAGUUUUCACUAGUCGUAUAUGUAUUCUACGACUGAAACUCUAGCUCCACCAUGAACAACCACACCAUUAGUCUACUCCAGUGUACAAAUCUAUUUCAUCUCCAUGUCUUUGAUGUACAGAUCUACUGGGGUGCAUAAAACUUGCGACCAUUAUUUUGACAAAACUUUCUUCCACCUCCAGAUCUAUGGCCACCUCCACAUUUGCUUCAUCUAUGUUGCGUCCUCCAUCUCCCACUGCCAGACCUGAUGCAGAUGACUGCCACCACCACUGAAAGUUGCUUCCACCCUCUCUCUCACCGCAUCUACAUCAAAUCUUAUUUGUAUGGUGCUUAUAGAUCUUAUGUGUGGUGCACACAAGGUGUUUGAUGAAAUGUUUCAAUAAAAUUGGUGUUGGCACCGGUGGUUGGUGGAGACGAUGGUUGAUGGUAGUGUAUGGUAGUUGGAGGUGUUGAAGUCGGUGGUGGUGGUGGUAAAGAAAGAACAUGUUCUAUUUAUCACUCAUCUUCUUUGUUGAUUUAAGAUAAGUUAUCAUGUUUUAUGA